rnacentral:rRNA from 1 species
UCUGGUUGAUCCUGCCAGAGGUCACUGCUAUUAGAAUCCGACUAAGCCAUGCGAGUAUUAUGGUUUUCGAAAGAGGGCUGUAGUGCGAAUUGCUCAGUAACACAUAGCUAACCUGCCCUUAGGCCCUUCAUAAUCCCGGGAAACUGGGGAUAAAGGAGGAUAGGGUUGGAGUUCUGGAAAGAGCCUACUUGAACUAAGGAUGGGGCUAUGACUGAUUAGGUUGUUGUUUGGGGUAACUGCCCAACAAGCCGAUAAUCAGUACCGGUGGUGAGAGCUAGAGCCGGGAGAUGGAUUCUGAGACAUGAAUCCAGGCCCUACGGGGCGCAGCAGGCGCGAAAACUUUGCAAUGUACGAAAGUGCGACAGGGGGAAUCUAAGUGUAUAGCAGCAAUGCUAUGCUUUUGCCAAGGCCAAAGCCCUUGGCGAAUAAGUGGUGGGUAAGACGGGUGGCAGCCGCCGCGGUAAUACCCGCGCCACAAGUGGUGACCGCAAUUAUUGGGUUUAAAGCAUCCGUAGCCGGCCUGAAUAGUCCCUGAUUAAAUCUCUUAUUAACUAAGAGGCUGUCAGGGAUACUAUCAUGCUAGGAACCAGGAGAGGUCUGGGGUACUUUUGGGUAAGGGUGAAAUCUGUUGAUCCCAAAGGGACCACCGAUGGCGAAGGCACCAGACUAGAAUGGCUUCGACGGUGAGGGAUGAAAGCGUGGGGAGCGAUCGGGAUUAGAUACCCCGGUAGUCCACGCUGUAAACGAUGCCCGCUUGGUGUGAGCUGGUCUGUAGGGACCGGCUCGUAUCGUAGAGAAAUCGAUAAGCGGGCCACCUGGGGAGUACGCUCGCAAGGGUGAAACUUAAAGGAAUUGGCGGGGGAGCACAUAAGGGGUGCGGCGUGCGGUUUAAUUGGACUCAACACCGAGAAUCUUACCAGGGGGGACAGCAGUAUGAUGGUCAGCCUAAAGGGCUUACCAGACGAGCUGAGAGGAGUUGCAUGGCUGUCGUCAGCUCGUGCCGUGAGGUGUCCAGUUAAGUCUGGCAACGAGCGAGAUCUACGCUGUUAGUUACCACCGAAAGGGGUACUCUAGCAGGACCGCCGGCGCAAGCCGGAGGAAGGAGUAGGCAACGGCAAGUCCGUAUAGCCCGAAUCUCCUGGGCUACACGCGCGCAACAUUGGUUGGGACAGUGAGUUGCAACACCGUAAGGUGAAGCCAAUCCCUAAACCCAACCUUGGUUCAGAUUGAGGGCUGAAACUCGCCCUCAUGACGGCGGAAUCCCUAGUAAUCGAACGUCAUCAUCGUUCGACGAAUGUAUCCCUGCUCCUUCCACACACUGCCCAUCAAGCCAUCUGAAUAGGGUCUCGAGAGAGAUUUUCUGUUAAAUCGGAAAAUCAAUCUUAGGCUUUGUAAGGAGGGCUAAGUUGUAACAAGGUA